UAGGGAAUCUUCGGCAAUGGGGGGAACCCUGACCGAGCAACGCCGCGUGAGUGAAGAAGGUUUUCGGAUCGUAAAGCUCUGUUGUUAAGGAAGAACGAGUGUGAGAAUGGAAAGUUCAUGCUGUGACGGUACUUAACCAGAAAGGGACGGCUAACUACGUGCCAGCAGCCGCGGUAAUACGUAGGUCCCGAGCGUUGUCCGGAUUUAUUGGGCGUAAAGCGAGCGCAGGCGGUUAGAAAAGUCUGAAGUGAAAGGCAGUGGCUCAACCAUUGUAGGCUUUGGAAACUGUUUAACUUGAGUGCAGAAGGGGAGAGUGGACUUCCGUGUGUAGCGGUGAAAUGCGUGGAUAUAUGGAGGAACACCGGUGGCGAAAGCGGCUCUCUGGACUGUAACUGACGCUGAGGCUCGAAAACGUGGGGAGCGAACAGG
rnacentral:rRNA from 1 species